GAUGAACGCUGGCGGCGUGCCUAAUACAUGCAAGUCGAGCGAACGGACGAGAAGCUUGCUUCUCUGAUGUUAGCGGCGGACGGGUGAGUAACACGUGGAUAACCUACCUAUAAGACUGGGAUAACUUCGGGAAACCGGAGCUAAUACCGGAUAAUAUUUUGAACCGCAUGGUUCAAAAGUGAAAGACGGUCUUGCUGUCACUUAUAGAUGGAUCCGCGCUGCAUUAGCUAGUUGGUAAGGUAACGGCUUACCAAGGCAACGAUGCAUAGCCGACCUGAGAGGGGGAUCGGCCACACUGGAACGGAGACACGGUCCAGACUCCUACGGGAGGCAGCAGUAGGGAAUCUUCCGCAAUGGGCGGAAGCCUGGCGGAGCAACGCCGCGUGAGUGAUGAAGGUCUUCGGAUCGUAAAACUCUGUUAUUAGGGAAGAACAUAUGUGUAAGUAACUGUGCACAUCUUGACGGUACCUAAUCAGAAAGCCACGGCUAACUACGUG
rnacentral:rRNA from 1 species